GUGUGGAGAUACUAGGAUAAGAGUACAGAUGGUUGUUAGAAAACAACUUGCACUGAGUGUGACCAGUAUGAGAAACUACUUGGAUGUCUACUCAUUCAUUAGUAAUUUUUUUGAUGCUAUAAUGGUGUGACUGAUCCUUUAAUCUGCGAUGUGUUUGCUAUUCACAGUGAGGCUACUUAGUUUGACUGCACAUUCCUUUGGUCCCUUGCCAUUCGGAUCCUUGCUGUGUAUGUUGGCUAUUAUAGGUUUAGAUUCGUCGUUGGGAGUAGGAUGCAGCUAGAUGGAAUCUAUUAAUCUUGGUAGAAAAGGAGUAGUCCUAUGUUAUUUGUAGGAUUGAGUUCAGAAAGUCUUUUACUAGAGCAAGUGUGAAUAUUGAAAAAGAGUUUUCAUAAAAUUCAUAGAUGAACUUAAGUUGAACCAAUUUAGUAUAUGACUGAUGAUGAGG
rnacentral:lncRNA from 1 species